GACGAACGCUGGCGGCGUGCCUAACACAUGCAAGUUGAGCGACGAACCAGGGCUUGCCCUGGGGCAAAGCAGCGAACGGGUGAGUAACACGUGGGUAACCUGCCCCGAUUACCGGGACAACCCGAGGAAACUCGGGCUAAUACCGGAUGUGCUCGUCAGACCCAAGUCUGACGCGUAAAGGAAGCUUCGGCCUCCGAUUCGGGAGGGGCCCGCGGCCCAUUAGUUAGUUGGUGAGGUAACGGCUCACCAAGACCGCGAUGGGUAGCUGGUCUGAGAGGACGAUCAGCCACACUGGGACUGAGACACGGCCCAGACUCCUACGGGAGGGCAGCAGUGGGGAAUCUUGCGCAAUGCGCGAAAGCGUGACGCAGCAACGCCGCGUGAGGGAAGACGGCCU
rnacentral:rRNA from 1 species